rnacentral:miRNA from 1 species
GAAAAUGGCUUUACCUCCCACUAAACAUGUUUAGUGGGAGGUAAAGCCAUUUUC